rnacentral:rRNA from 1 species
UAUCCUACGGGGGGCAGCAGUAGGGAAUCUUCCACAAUGGACGAAAGUCUGAUGCAGCAACGCCGCGUGAGUGAAGAAGUAUUUCGGUAUGUAAAGCUCUAUCAGCAGGGAAGAAGAUGACGGUACCUGAGUAAGAAGCCCCGGCUAACUACGUGCCAGCAGCCGCGGUAAUACGUAGGGGGCAAGCGUUAUCCGGAUUUACUGGGUGUAAAGGGAGCGUAGACGGUGAGACAAGUCUGAAGUGAAAGCCCGGGGCUCAACCCCGGGACUGCUUUGGAAACUGCCUGACUGGAGUGCUGGAGAGG